UUUGCGUCGAAGGUAUACCGGUAAGGAGUGCUGGAGCGAAUAGAAGUGAGCAUGCAGGCAUGAGUAGCGAUAAUUAAUGUGAGAAUCAUUAACGCCGUAAACCCAAGGUUUCCUACGCGAUGCUCGUCAUCGUAGGGUUAGUCGGGUCCUAAGUCGAGUCCGAAAGGGGUAGACGAUGGCAAAUUGGUUAAUAUUCCAAUACCAACAUUAGUGUGCGAUGGAAGGACGCUUAGGGCUAAGGGGGCUAGCGGAUGGAAGUGCUAGUCUAAGGUCGUAGGAGGUUAUACAGGCAAAUCCGUAUAACAAUACUCCGAGAACUGAAAGGCUUUUUGAAGUCUUCGGAUGGAUAGAAGAACCCCUGAUGCCGUCGAGCCAAGAAAAGUUUCUAAGUUUAGCUAAUGUUGCCCGUACCGUAAACCGACACAGGUGGGUGGGAUGAGUAUUCUAAGGCGCGUGGAAGAACUCUCUUUAAGGAACUCUGCAAAAUAGCACCGUAUCUUCGGUAUAAGGUGUGGUUAGCUUUGUAUUAGGAUUUACUCCGAAAGCAAGGAAACUUACAACAAAGAGUCCCUCCCGACUGUUUACCAAAAACACAGCACUCUGCUAACUCGUAAGAGGAUGUAUAGGGUGUGACGCCUGCCCGGUGCUCGAAGGUUAAUUGAUGGGGUUAGCAUUAGCGAAGCUCUUGAUCGAAGCCCGAGUAAACGGCGGCCGUAACUAUAACGGUCCUAAGGUAGCGAAAUUCCUUGUCGGUUAAAUACCGACCUGCAUGAAUGGCGUAACGAGAUGGGAGCUGUCUCAAAGAGGGAUCCAGUGAAAUUGUAGUGGAGGUGAAAAUUCCUCCUACCCGCGGCAAGACGGAAAGACCCCGUGGACCUUUACUACAGCUUGACACUGCUACUUGGAUAAGAAUGUGCAGGAUAGGUGGGAGGCUUUGAGUAUAUGACGCCAGUUGUAUAUGAGCCAUUGUUGAGAUACCACUCUUUCUUAUUUGGGUAGCUAACCAGCUUGAGUUAUCCUCAAGUGGGACAAUGUCUGGUGGGUAGUUUGACUGGGGCGGUCGCCUCCCAAAUAAUAACGGAGGCUUACAAAGGUUGGCUCAGAACGGUUGGAAAUCGUUCGUAGAGUAUAAAGGUAUAAGCCAGCUUAACUGCAAGACAUACAAGUCAAGCAGAGACGAAAGUCGGUCUUAGUGAUCCGGUGGUUCUGUGUGGAAGGGCCAUCGCUCAAAGGAUAAAAGGUACCCCGGGGAUAACAGGCUGAUCUCCCCCAAGAGCUCACAUCGACGGGGAGGUUUGGCACCUCGAUGUCGGCUCAUCGCAUCCUGGGGCUGGAGCAGGUCCCAAGGGUAUGGCUGUUCGCCAUUUAAAGCGGUACGCGAGCUGGGUUCAGAACGUCGUGAGACAGU
rnacentral:rRNA from 1 species